CAUAGCGUAGCUUAAACCUAAAGCAUCUGGCUUACACCCAGAAGAAUCCACAAUAUGGACGCUCUGA
rnacentral:tRNA from 1 species